UGCGCCGGAUGCGGCGAUCUGCGGCCAAAAGGUCGUUGCGAUCAGCCCGUCCUGGCGCCGUAAAAUUUGCAACUGAGUCGCCUCUGGUCUUAAUUGGUCGGUGGCGUCUGCUCGGUUGCUCGUUUACUGUGAGAAAAUUGGAGUGUUCAAGGCAGGCGUGGAUUGCAACUGAACAUGUUAGCAUGGAAUAAUAAGAUAAGACUUCGGUUUUGUUUUGUUGGCUUGACGAACCAAAGUAAUGAUUGAAAGGGAUAGUUGGGGGUGCUAGUAUUCAGUGGUCAGCGGUGAAAUGCGAGGACCCAUUGAAGACUAACUUAUGCGAAAGCAUU
rnacentral:rRNA from 1 species